GAUGAACGCUGGCGGCGUGCCUAACACAUGCAAGUCGAGCGAGGGUUUGCUCAGUAUUGAGUAUUCUAAGUCUAGAAUGUUCAAUUCUGAGCAAAACCAAGCGGCGGACGGGUGAGUAACGCGUGGGUAACCUGCCCUAUACACAUGGAUAACAUACUGAAAAGUUUACUAAUACAUGAUAAUAUAUAUUUGUGGCAUCGCAGAUAUAUCAAAGUGUUAGCGGUAUAGGAUGGACCCGCGUCUGAUUAGCUAGUUGGUGAGAUAACUGCCCACCAAGGCGACGAUCAGUAGCCGACCUGAGAGGGUGAUCGGCCACAUUGGAACUGAGACACGGUCCAAACUCCUACGGGAGGCAGCAGUGGGGAAUAUUGCACAAUGGGCGAAAGCCUGAUGCAGCAACGCCGCGUGAACGAUGAAGGUCUUCGGAUCGUAAAGUUCUGUUGCAGGGGAAGAUAAUGACGGUACCCUGUGAGGAAGCCCCGGCUAACUACGUGCCAGCAGCCGCGGUAAUACGUAGGGGGCUAGCGUUAUCCGGAUUUACUGGGCGUAAAGGGUGCGUAGGUGGUCCUUCAAGUCGGUGGUUAAAGGCUACGGCUCAACCGUAGUAAGCCGCCGAAACUGGAGGACUUGAGUGCAGGAGAGGAAAGUGGAAUUCCCAGUGUAGCGGUGAAAUGCGUAGAUAUUGGGAGGAACACCAGUAGCGAAGACGGCUUUCUGGACUGCAACUGACACUGAGGCACGAAAGCGUGGGUAGCAAACAGG
rnacentral:rRNA from 1 species